rnacentral:lncRNA from 1 species
AAGACGGCUGCAAGUCAUUGGCGCCCUCCGCAUCCACCGGUACGUCUUGCACGCGCACGCCCCCGCCCCCACUAUAGCCGCAGACCUCCAUAUGCCGGAGUACGAUGGCAGCAACGACGGACUACUUCGACGCCCACCAACUGUUCGACCUGAUGUCAAGACGGUUGCAUGGUAAAUUUACUUCAAUUCAGUCUAGACAUUGCUUUACUAUACUCCUUAUUUUGUGUUCUUUUAAAAGUUUUGAUUUUUACCAUAAACAAUUUUCUAGGUCAUGUACUACAGAUUGGUGCCAACUUCCCAUUUUGCUAUUUAUUGGUGCCCUUAGUUCUUCUUUUUGAUCAUGUUUAUAUUUUUCAUUUCAGUUCUGGCCCACCAUAAUCUAUGCUAUACAGUAAUUUUAUAUGUUUGUAUUGCCUAAAAGAUUUAGCCUCUAUGAUGCAUGCACGAUGAUGAUAACCGAGCUAGGGCAGGUUGUUGGCUGAUUGACAUGGUGCAGCGAGUAGCUGUGCAGAGUUUGAUAUGGUCUUCCUCAAUAAUAAGCGUGCUUGUAUAUAUCAAUUUACCUUUUGUAUUUUCAUGAAGUGAAUCCUUUAAUUGACUAAUAUUGUUACAAGUUCAGUUCUGUGAUAUAGAAAAAGAUAAAGAUAUAUUAUUCUUCUCCCUCCCUCCUCCUCUCCAUUCUUUCCACAUCUUACCCGUCUGUAGUUUAGUUUCAGGUUAGCAAAGCAUCUAUAACACAGUUCUGGUAUGGUAUGCUCUCUAAUUAAAGUGAGGCUGAGUGAAAGUUCACUCUUGGUACACAUUUUAUGAUUCCAUCUUUCUCACUUUGGUAUUUGCACAAGAUCUGGAUAGCUAAUCAUGUAGCUGUAAGUUUAUAAAUUGUUGUUCACAUGAAUUUUACCAAUUGAGAUAUAGUGAAUGGUGGUCUCAUUCUAAGUUUUUUAUUCCAAUAUAUAUGAUUUGAUAAAAGAGUACUAUCUCAAGUUUAGUCUACACACAUCUUGUGAUAGGACCAGUGUAUGAUAUACAAAAUAUCCUGCUCUAUGUAAUAUUUUUUCCGUGAAAAGUACAUCAGCAAAGGACGGUGUCCAUUGCAAUUUGUAUGUUAUUUCGAUUGGAACCUCGAAUAACAAGACAUUGUCACGGUUCAGAAAAUACAAAACACCACCUUAACACAUCAGAAAUACAUAGCAAAUAUUUCAUCAAAAAUGAAGCUCUGUUAUCACAAAUUCCAAGUGACCAUAUUGAGAUCAAUAAAAGUAGCAUAACUGAUUAAUUUGAUAUUGUUGAAGGGAUAAGUUCGUGUGGGGUGCGGCAUAGCUUCGGAGGGUAUCGAGGGAUGACGCCUCCACUCCAUUCAUGCUUCUGGCAUAUGCCAAAUACUAAAAAACAGGUACUAUUUUUUCCUCCCAUAUUUGUGGUUGUCUACUGGCUAAUGCCUAUAUAACAUCCAGUGCAAGGACACUGGCGUUUCUCCGAAUUUUCUAAUCUCACUUGUGUAUACAGGAAUUAGGGUUGAUUAUUUGUAAGAGAUAACCAGAUUAAAAUGGCUUACAUAAUUGGGUACGACCGAUACCUACUGAAGCAUUCAUCUGUACAUGAUCUGCUUUUCUCUAUGAUUCGUCGGAUUUGUUCUCAACUCUAUAUUCUUAAUGAGGGACUAUGAGGUGCUCUGCUUUUUCGUCAAGGGGAGAAGAACAUGUACGAGUAGAAAGGAAAGGGUGUUAUGUUUGCACAAGGCGGGGGAAACCGUACAAGCAAUCAUCUAAGGCUCCGUCCGGAGUGCAGGUACAAAAAGCGUAGGAAAGGAAAACUGCAUAGGGAUCGGACUGAAUGAACAGUUGAAAACUUUGGAACUGGAAAAAGAAGGGAAAGUAUCAAUGUAGAGCGGAGCUUGCAUUCGGAUGGCCAGAGAGAACGCAUGAAGACCAAGUAAUGAAUAGUAGCUAAUACAAUAUUUUAUUUGCACUGUACUUGUCGUUCUCUUCUUACACCUCAUGAACGGCCACAGGAUUGAAUACUUUAUUUCCUCUGCUCUUCCUCGGGGCUCCGCCCAAAAAUGAGCCCCGUGUGGAUUUGUUCAUUCCUGUAAAAUCUGCAUACCUGACGAUCCUUUCCGAUGGAAUGUUGAGUACCUUUCCUUCGAACCGAACAGCUAAAAGGAAAGAAAACCUACAAAAGCAAAUUUUCCUUUGGAAUGGCA